AUUCGAUCAUCGGCGUGACGCUCUACGAUGCUGUCGGUGAUGGCGUGCGGAUCAGCAAUCUCGAAGCAUGGGGCGGAUUGAUGGGCCCGGGGUACAAUUAUUUCGAGAGGGGCAAUUUGGACAUUUUCAGCGGGAGAGGGCCGUGCCUGGGUGGACCCGUGUGCGCGCUGAAUCUUUCAUCGGACGGAUCGGGGGAGCAUCACGGGUGGUACUGUAACUACGUGGAGGUGACUUCGACGGGGGUCCACACGCGGUGCGCUCAGCAGCAGUUCACGAUCGAGCAGUGGCUGGCGACUGAUACUUCGCCGUACGAGUUGAGCGUUUUCCAGAAUUAUUGCGACUAUGUGAGCGGUCAGCGUCGUGAGAGAGUCGUGAAAUCUAAGCCUUUGGCUUCUACUA
rnacentral:lncRNA from 1 species